CGACCAUUUUCAUUGAAAUGAAAGCCCAAUGGGCAAUGGGGUAGUAUAGAUGAUGGAUUUAGAAGUUCAAACCCUCCAACAUUUACAACUUCACUAAAAACUAAGCCCACUUGUCCUAUCCAUAGCUUCGGGACCUUGUCAAAGUUAAUUAACGAAAAUUUUACAUAUCGCACCUCCGACAAAAACAUACAGAUUAGAAGCCUAAUCUACCAAAACAUACAACAAUAACUAAAACUGAUUGGUGAGUCAAAUACCCGAACCAUCAAACGGAUCACAACACAUGAGCUGGUUCGUUCUUGACUCCGAAAAGCCCAUUAUAAAAAGUUUGAGGUUGAGCAAUU
rnacentral:lncRNA from 1 species